UUAAAAGUAAUGAUGAAGACGGCAUUAAGAGAUGGCUUCAGAGAGCCGGUGGACGCUGUGAACCGGUGCCAAAUCUUAUCCAUGCCCAGCCCUUCUGAACUGGCAGCUGAACUUUUUAGUAGGCGCGCCCGGGAAAUACCCGUUAUAUUUUAAUGAAGGCUGCAUUUAUUUGCGGCAAAAGAGGGUGGCACCACGCGUUCUUACACGUCCCUCAU
rnacentral:ncRNA from 1 species